CACGACAGCAUCCAGAAGAGAUGGAGGCGAUGGGAUCCGGAUCCGGAGCCGAAGCUGAGGAGGCACAGAACCACACGGCCAUGCUGUGGAGCAUCCAGGAGGCCGUUCAGAGGCAGACGCUGCAGAUCGGGGCCUCGGCGUGUGGAGCCACAGCGGUGGUGGACGUCCUGCAGGCGCUGGGCAUCACGGUGACUCCAGAGACGGUCGAUCACUGCGUCAGGACGAGUCUGAGGAGGAACGAGGCGCCGCUGCAUGAUUACCUGCACUCUCGCAGCAAGGCCGGGGCCACACACCUGCAGCUGGUCUCCGGGGCCGAGCAGGCCAGCGGGGGCCGUGUUGUGGGACGGUUCUUUGGCCUGUAUCCUCGGCGGAGGCUGAAGCUGGUGCCGUGGUUGGCGCACUGGAUUCGGCGUGGAGCGGUUCCCAUCGCCACCAUGAACAUGCAGCAGGCCGUUCCUGAAGGAGAAGAGAUUCCUGACGCCUGGCAUCACCAGCUCAUCUUCGGAGUCGCACCCGGUGCUGUGUUCAUGACCAACCCGCUGGACGUGGUGAGUGAAGAGGAGGUUCACGAGCGUCUGUGCAGCGAGUCUGUUCUGCUCGUUCGCCGUGAAGACGUCCUGAAGAGACUGACGCCGGACGCUCAUCUAUCACAGAUCUCAGAUCAGCAUCCCGACCUGCGCUGGAAAACAUUAAACGUGGAGGAUCAGGUCAGACAGAUGAUCAGCGAGGAAGAGCAUCCCAUGAAAACGCAUCUCGUGAUUCCCGCGGCGUACAGCUCUGGAGUGACUUUCUUCGCUCUUAGAGACUCAGAUGUUGCUCAGGAGCUUCUCAGCAGCCCAGAGCUGCCUCCGCUGUGAUUUCGUCAUCAUCAAAUCAGUGCUUAAUUAAGAUAUUCUUGAUGUCGGAUCAGUAUUUAUUCUUGGGAUUGUAAAUAGAUGUUGUCAUCCUGCUGUGUUUUGUCUCAUUCGAGAGCUUAAUGGUCGACAGCAUCAUGUUUAUCAAAUAAAAAAAGCAAGAAAUGUACAUGUUCGCUGUUUAUUUUUAUCUGUCAAUAUAAUAAGUAAAGUUAAGUCUUCAUCUCUUUUUCCCCCUCUAAAAACUAUAAAUAUGUUGACUUUUACAUGUUAAGGAUCUCAUACUUUAGCAUUUUUGUACUUUAUAUACAUUGGAAUAAUGUCUUCUUAUUGGACGCUUCAUGAAUGCUAAUUUAUUGGACAUGCAUUUAAAAAUUCCUAUAAGAAUCGGGAGCUAAGUUUCAAAGAUCCAGUUUCCUGUAUUCUGUUGUUUCCAUUAAUGCUUAAGGAUUUAUUGUGAUUAAAAACUAAAGUAGGAAAUUCCUCAAGGAUUCUGUUAUACUAAGAAAUUACAUUUACCAUAAUUCUCCACGACCUACGAAAGGAAGUUGAGAAAACAAAACACCCAAACUCUAUAUUAUAUAUUUACUUAACAAUUUCCUCUAUGAACUAUGAUUUUUUUUUUUUUUUUUUUUCCAUUAAAAAAGUAUAGCGUCAACGAGUCCGACUCACUUCGAGCGAAUCGAUUCAUUCGAACACUUCGCUUCAGUUUAAGUGAAAUGUUUAUUUUAUACUGCUGUUUAUAUGUAUGUUUUUGUUUAAAGUACACAUAUUGUACGAGCUAUUGCUGGUUUUAUGAUUCCACCUCAUUUUGCAAUUAAAUUUGACCAAACAUGAAAGGAACCGAUUCAACCCAAUGAAUCAUUUGGCGAAUCGAACAUGUAGCAUGUGAAUUUUCAGUGAGUGCACGUGGUUUGUGGUGGCAAACAAACGCUGGUCUUCUGUCCAUCACACAUUCAGAACACCACAGGAUCCCCACUGUAUCCCGCUGUUCAUCAGAAAUCACGUAAGUCAGCAAUUAUACCUAUAGAAAUGAAUGGUCAGGUUAGUUGCAUGAAACACUUGAAGGGUUAUUCCCAUGAAGUUUAUCAAACUUGCAGUUUUUGCUAUCUGGAUGAUGUUGCAGUUGUACCUUGUUAUUAUUUUGUCUUUAUGGUCAAUACCAUUGAAGUAGCUACUAGUUGUGGACUUGUUUAUAAUAUUAUUGCAUAUGCACUUUGAUAUUACCUUCCAAUAGCAUGCACAUCUGAAUCUUACAACCAUAUCAAAGUACCAUUUCUUUUAUAAAGGUUUUGCCUGACAAUCAUGGUUAUGCAUGUUAAUUACUCACAAUCAGGCACAUGAAUAUAGAGAUUUAAUGCAUCAUUAUUAUGCAUGCAUAGUAUAUGUUGUAUUUGCUGUUCAGACGAUGCCAUUACAUAAUUUCACAGUAGAAGUAAAUGAGCAACAGACCCUGAAUCUCGUGAUGUGGGUCACUCAUGUGAUGCUUGUUAACAUUCUGACUGUGAUUGUGUGUGUUUGAUUAAUUUGAUCAUUUUAUUUAGAAAGCAAAGUUAAACUAAAAAUAUAAUCUCAGUCUUAUUUAUGGUAUUUUUCCGUGCAAAGGAAAGUUUUUUUUUUUUUCACUUCGAAUGCAUGGUGUUUCGAUGUUUAUAUAUGUUCAUUUAAUGUUAUGUUUCAUGCAGAUGUAAUGCACUGAGCACAUGAUUCAGGAUGUCAGUGUUGCAGUGCUUCUGUGGUUGUUUAUGGAUGUGCUGCCUGAUGCUGCUGGAAGUUCAUGUGUGUUGGGAUUUAAGGUCUUACAGCAGCACUGAGAGGUCAGCGCUAAUAGAUGAGAUCAAACUUGCAUCACUGCAUCCUAUAGGUCAAACACUUCAUGCAAUCAGACCACCUCUUUAGAAGAAAUAAAAACAGUUUCUCAUACAGAGAGUGACAUUCUGUAGGAUAGAGGAUAAUAUAUUAUUAGUCAACAGUUAGCUCUGCAGAAGAGUUAUUUAUUUAUUUAUUUAUUAUUAUUAAAAUUAUUUGAAAUUAUAUUUCUGAAGCAUUUAUUAACCUUCAUUUUGAUUUCUACAUUAAAUAUCCACAUUAAAGAUACAAUCUGUAUCUGUACCUAAUAUUAUUUAGUGGCUAAAAAUGAACAGUUGUAUUUACAGUUGUAUUUUUUAUUUAUUAACCUAGCAACCCCCAGAACAUCCACACUAGCAACAACUUAGCAACUUCCAACUUCACCCAAAACUGCCCCUGGCAACCACCCAGAACACCACAGAAACUGCCUGGCAACCACAAAGCAAUGCUGUGAAAACUGCCUAGAAACACCCUAGCAACUGCCCCAAACUACUAAUCUACAGUAGCAAUGCUCUAGCAACCACCCAGAACACUCUAGCAGCUGCCUAGAAACCAGAUAGCAAUACCCUAGCAACUACCUGUCAACACCCUAGCAACCAAAUACAUUGCAACUACCCAAAACUCGCUGGCAAUCACAAAGCAGUGACCUAGCAACUGCCUAGGAACACAAGUUAGCAACUACCCAAAACUGCCUAGCAACCAUAUAGCAAUGCCCUAGCAAAACUCUAGCAACUGUCUAGCAAAACCCUGGCAAAUGCCUGUCAAUACCCUAGCAACCGAAUACAGUUCCCUAGCAACCACAGAGCAACUGCCUAGGAACCACAUAGCAAUGCCCUAGCAACUACCUAGCAAAACACUUGCAAUUGCCUAGCAAUACCCUAGCACUAACGGCAAAGUAACCACCCUAGCAACUACCCAAAACAGCUUAGCGACCAGUUAGCAAUGAUCUAGCAAACAACCCAAAAUACUCUUGCACCUAGCAACUGCUAUCAACACCCUAGCAACCAAAUACAAAUGCACU
ensembl:lncRNA